ensembl:miRNA
AGACAUGCACCUCAAGAAUAUAUUGAGAGCUCAUCCAUAGUUGUCACUGUCUCAGAUCAGUGACAACUAUGGAUGAGCUCUUAAUAUAUCCCAGGC